UGUAAGCGUAUACCAAAGUUGUUGCAGUUAAAACGCUCGUAGUCGGAAUUUGGCAGUUCCGGAUGUGUGCACGUCGUGUGCGCACUUCGCGGGGAUUGCUUUUGUGGUCUUGCGUAGGAUGAGGCACUUUUAUUAGUGAACGUCCUCACGCAACCACUUUUUACUGUGAGAAAAUCAGAGUGCUCAAAGCAGGCAUUAGCCGUGAAUGUAUUAGCAUGGAAUAAUAGAAUAGGACUUGGUUCUAUUUUGUUGGUUUGUUGGGACUGAGUAAUGAUUAAGAGGGACAGUUGGGGGCAUUUGUAUUUCGGUGCUAGAGGUGAAAUUCUUAGAUUACCGAAAGACAAACUGCUGCGAAAGCGUCUGCCAAGGAUGUUUUCAUUGA
rnacentral:rRNA from 1 species